CGGGACACGUGGUAUCCUGUCUGAAUAUGGGGGGACCAUCCUCCAAGGCUAAAUACUCCUGACUGACCGAUAGUGAACCAGUACCGUGAGGGAAAGGCGAAAAGAACCCCGGCGAGGGGAGUGAAAAAGAACCUGAAACCGUGUACGUACAAGCAGUGGGAGCACAGAGCAAUCUGUGUGACUGCGUACCUUUUGUAUAAUGGGUCAGCGACUUAUAUUCUGUAGCAAGGUUAACCGAAUAGGGGAGCCGAAGGGAAACCGAGUCUUAACUGGGCGUUAAGUUGCAGGGUAUAGACCCGAAACCCGGUGAUCUAGCCAUGGGCAGGUUGAAGGUUGGGUAACACUAACUGGAGGACCGAACCGACUAAUGUUGAAAAAUUAGCGGAUGACUUGUGGCUGGGGGUGAAAGGCCAAUCAAACCGGGAGAUAGCUGGUUCUCCCCGAAAGCUAUUUAGGUAGCGCCUCGUGAAUUCAUCUCCGGGGGUAGAGCACUGUUUCGGCAAGGGGGUCAUCCCGACUUACCAACCCGAUGCAAACUGCGAAUACCGGAGAAUGUUAUCACGGGAGACACACGGCGGGUGCUAACGUCCGUCGUGAAGAGGGAAACAACCCAGACCGCCAGCUAAGGUCCCAAAGUCAUGGUUAAGUGGGAAACGAUGUGGGAAGGCCCAGACAGCCAGGAUGUUGGCUUAGAAGCAGCCAUCAUUUAAAGAAAGCGUAAUAGCUCACUGGUCGAGUCGGCCUGCGCGGAAGAUGUAACGGGGCUAAACCAUGCACCGAAGCUGCGGCAGCGACACUAUGUGUUGUUGGGUAGGGGAGCGUUCUGUAAGCCUGUGAAGGUGUACUGUGAGGUAUGCUGGAGGUAUCAGAAGUGCGAAUGCUGACAUAAGUAACGAUAAAGCGGGUGAAAAGCCCGCUCGCCGGAAGACCAAGGGUUCCUGUCCAACGUUAAUCGGGGCAGGGUGAGUCGACCCCUAAGGCGAGGCCGAAAGGCGUAGUCGAUGGGAAACAGGUUAAUAUUCCUGUACUUGGUGUUACUGCGAAGGGGGGACGGAGAAGGCUAUGUUGGCCGGGCGACGGUUGUCCCGGUUUAAGCGUGUAGGCUGGUUUUCCAGGCAAAUCCGGAAAAUCAAGGCUGAGGCGUGAUGACGAGGCACUACGGUGCUGAAGCAACAAAUGCCCUGCUUCCAGGAAAAGCCUCUAAGCAUCAGGUAACAUCAAAUCGUACCCCAAACCGACACAGGUGGUCAGGUAGAGAAUACCAAGGCGCUUGAGAGAACUCGGGUGAAGGAACUAGGCAAAAUGGUGCCGUAACUUCGGGAGAAGGCACGCUGAUAUGUAGGUGAAGCGACUUGCUCGUGGAGCUGAAAUCAGUCGAAGAUACCAGCUGGCUGCAACUGUUUAUUAAAAACACAGCACUGUGCAAACACGAAAGUGGACGUAUACGGUGUGACGCCUGCCCGGUGCCGGAAGGUUAAUUGAUGGGGUUAGCGGUAACGCGAAGCUCUUGAUCGAAGCCCCGGUAAACGGCGGCCGUAACUAUAACGGUCCUAAGGUAGCGAAAUUCCUUGUCGGGUAAGUUCCGACCUGCACGAAUGGCGUAAUGAUGGCCAGGCUGUCUCCACCCGAGACUCAGUGAAAUUGAACUCGCUGUGAAGAUGCAGUGUACCCGCGGCAAGACGGAAAGACCCCGUGAACCUUUACUAUAGCUUGACACUGAACAUUGAGCCUUGAUGUGUAGGAUAGGUGGGAGGCUUAGAAGUGUGGACGCCAGUCUGCAUGGAGCCGACCUUGAAAUACCACCCUUUAAUGUUUGAUGUUCUAACGUUGGCCCCUGAUCGGGGUUGCGGACAGUGUCUGGUGGGUAGUUUGACUGGGGCGGUCUCCUCCUAAAGAGUAACGGAGGAGCACGAAGGUUGGCUAAUCCUGGUCGGACAUCAGGAGGUUAGUGCAAUGGCAUAAGCCAGCUUGACUGCGAGCGUGACGGCGCGAGCAGGUGCGAAAGCAGGUCAUAGUGAUCCGGUGGUUCUGAAUGGAAGGGCCAUCGCUCAACGGAUAAAAGGUACUCCGGGGAUAACAGGCUGAUACCGCCCAAGAGUUCAUAUCGACGGCGGUGUUUGGCACCUCGAUGUCGGCUCAUCACAUCCUGGGGCUGAAGUAGGUCCCAAGGGUAUGGCUGUUCGCCAUUUAAAGUGGUACGCGAGCUGGGUUUAGAACGUCGUGAGACAGUUCGGUCCCUAUCUGCCGUGGGCGCUGGAGAACUGAGGGGGGCUGCUCCUAGUACGAGAGGACCGGAGUGGACGCAUCACUGGUGUUCGGGUUGUCAUGCCAAUGGCACUGCCCGGUAGCUAAAUGCGGAAGAGAUAAGUGCUGAAAGCAUCUAAGCACGAAACUUGCCCCGAGAUGAGUUCUCCCUGACUCCUUGAGAGUCCUGAAGGAACGUUGAAGACGACGACGUUGAUAGGCCGGGUGUGUAAGCGCAGCGAUGCGUUGAGCUAACCGGUACUAAUGAACCGUGAGG
rnacentral:rRNA from 1 species